GCACUAGUUUUCCAGCACUGUGACACUCGCCAGGGAGCAGGAGGUUUGGGUGCUGCGUAUGUGCUUCAGCCAGCUCUUCACAUCUAAGUUAAAGAGGCACUGCAUCAUUUCAGUCUUCAAGGGGAACCUGAACCUCCCUGCAGGAGUGCACACUCAGGCUCCACAUCCAAAUGCUGAAGUGUUCUAGAGCCUUUCCUGUCCCUCUAUAGGGAGAAUGCAGCUCAAAUGAAGGCAGCCAAGACCAGAGAAGUCAGACUACAGGCCAUGUCUGUCACAGGGCUGAGCUUCAUGUACCAUUUUGAAAUGGUGCCAAGUUUCUCCUUAGUCCCGACACCUGCUUCUGUGAUUUCUAUUUAUUAGAAAUUAAAUGGAGCAGGAGGCAGAGCAUCCUUAGUAGGAGUGUGCCAAGAGUUUACUGAUUUCUAUUUACUUAAUAAAUCUGCUCACAUUUCAAAAAGU